GCCGGAUAGCUCACUUGGUAAAGCAUCGCGUCGAAGUGACUAUCACGUCGCGGGUUCGAGCCCCGCUUCGCA